AACGAACGCUGGCGGCAUGCCUAACACAUGCAAGUCGAACGAGACCUUCGGGUCUAGUGGCGCACGGGUGCGUAACGCGUGGGAACCUGCCCUUAGGUUCGGAAUAACUCCCCGAAAGGGGUGCUAAUACCGGAUAAUGUCUUCGGACCAAAGAUUUAUCGCCUUUGGAUGGGCCCGCGUUGGAUUAGCUAGUUGGUAGGGUAAAAGCCUACCCAGGCGACGAUCCAUAGCUGGUCUGAGAGGAUGAUCAGCCACACUGGGCCUGGGACCCGGCCCAGACUCCUACGGGAGGCAGCAGUUGGGAAUAUUGGACGAUGGGCGAAAGCCUGAGCCAGCAAUGCCGCGUGAGUGAUGAAGGCCUUAGGGUUGUAAAGCUCUUUUACCCGGGAUGAUAGUGACAGUACCGGGAGAAUAAGCUCCGGCUAACUACGUG
rnacentral:rRNA from 1 species